GAUGAACGCUAGCGGGAGGCUUAAUACAUGCAAGUCGAACGGUAAGGUCUUGCUUGCAAGAUACACGAGUGGCGAACGGGUGAGUAACGCGUACACGACCUACCCUCAAGAGGAGGAUAGCCCUGGGAAACUGGGAUUAAUACACCAUGUGAUUAUAUAAAAUAGAGUUAUAUAAUUAAAGUUUAGGCGCUUGAGGAUGGGUGUGCGUUAGAUUAGCUAGUUGGUGAGGUAACGGCUUACCAAGGCGACGAUCUAUAGGGGGCGUGAGAGCGUGAUCCCCCACACGGGUACUGAGACACGGACCCGACUCCUACGGGAGGCAGCAGUAAGGAAUAUUGGACAAUGGGAGCAAUCCUGAUCCAGCCAUCCCGCGUGCAGGAUGAAUGCCCUAUGGGUAGUAAACUGCUUUUAGAUAGGAAGAAUAGCAUUUAUUUAUAGGUGUAUGACGGUACUAUCAGAAUAAGCACCGGCUAACUCCG
rnacentral:rRNA from 1 species